rnacentral:rRNA from 1 species
UACGGGGGGGGCAAGCGUUGUUCGGAAUUACUGGGCGUAAAGGGCGCGUAGGCGGUCAUCUAAGUCAGACGUGAAAUCCCUCGGCUCAACCGAGGAACUGCGUCUGAUACUGGAAGGCUUGAAUCCGGGAGAGGGAUGUGGAAUUCCAGGUGCAGCGGUGAAAUGCGCAGAUAUCAGGAGGAACACCGGUGGCGAAGGCGGGUCUCUGGGCCGAUACUGACGCUGAGGAGCGAAAGCGUGGGGAGCGAACAGG